rnacentral:rRNA from 1 species
AAUUUUAAGGUCAAGCUACAAAGGGCGCAUGGUGAAUGCCUUGGCACUAGGAGCCGAAGAAGGACGCGAUAAGCUGCGAUAAGCCUUGGGUAGCCGCAAAUAGGCUGAGAUCCAGGGAUUUCCGAAUGAGGAAACUCACAUGGGUAACCCCAUGUAUCAUGCACUGAAUACAUAGGUGUAUGAGGGUAAACCCGGGGAACUGAAACAUCUAAGUACCCGGAGGAAGAGAAAGAAAAAUCGAUUUCCUAAGUAGCGGCGAGCGAACGGGAAAGAGCCCAAACCAGAAACUUGUUUCUGGGGUUGUGGAUAGAUCAUAAAAGAAGAGGUAUCUUAAUCGAAGAGGGCUGGAACGCCCUACCAUAGAAGGUAAUAGUCCUGUAGAUAAAAAGAGAAAACUUCGAGAUCUAAUCCAGAGUACCACGAGACACGUGAAACCUUGUGGGAAGCAGGGAGGACCACCUCCCAAGGCUAAAUACUACCUAGUGACCGAUAGUGAAGCAGUACCGUGAGGGAAAGGUGAAAAGAACCCCGGAAGGGGAGUGAAAUAGAACCUGAAACCGUGUGCCUACAACCGAUCGGAGCACGUUAAAGUGUGACGAUGUGCUUUUUGUAGAACGAGCCAGCGAGUUACGCU